UACGUAGGGGGCAAGCGUUGUCCGGAUUUACUGGGCGUAAAGAGCGUGUAGGCGGCCAAGCAGGUCCGUUGUGAAAACUGGAGGCUUAACCUCCAGACGUCGACGGAAACCGCGUGGCUAGAGUCCGGAAGAGGAGAGUGGAAUUCCUGGUGUAGCGGUGAAAUGCGCAGAUAUCAGGAAGAACACCAAUGGCGAAGGCAGCUCUCUGGGACGGUACUGACGCUGAGACGCGAAAGCGUGGUGAGCGAACAGG
rnacentral:rRNA from 1 species